rnacentral:tRNA from 1 species
CAGAGAAUAGUUUAUUUAAAAAUAUUAAUUUUGGAGAUUAAUGAUAAGAGUAAUUCUUUUCUCUGA